ACUCUCACGGUCGAGUCUGUGGCCCUGUGCUUUGAAGGAUUGCACCCGGCCUGGACUUCGGGUUAAAAGAAAGCUGGCUUUCAGCAGAAAAGGGGUGUGUGUGUGUCGGGGUGCUUGUUGACACCGCUCUCCCAGCGGCUGCAGGUGACCCAGGGACCACGAUGUCUCACCUGGCCGGCCGUGGAGGAGGCAGGGCCCCAGCCAGUGCUCAUGCUGGGACCCAUCUGCACAGAUUCAAAGAGUCACCACUACAUGUCUAGGGAUGACCACAUCUGGAACUUAUGUCGGCUCCUGAUUAUUUAAUCUGAUGGGCAACCCUGAAAUGUCUCCUCCUCCCCAUCUAGAAAGGAAGGUGUUAACUGUGGCCCCGGACACCAGAUUUAUAAAAGGCUUCCGCUGCCCUUGACCUCCACGUUGCUGAUAUUGAAACCUAAUUGUGUUGAUGUUGGUCUCCAAGGUAAACAAAGCUUUACAGGGGAAAUGUUUGGACCUAGAGAUUCCUGUGUGCUCCAAGUUUGGACGAACAGCCGGAAUCGUGAGCAUUUCCCUUCAUUUCCUUUUAAAGGGCUGUGUUUAGCCCAGCCGAGUGGACAGCCCCAAACCAUGCCUACGGGCAAUUUUCAAAAACAGCCUCCGGAAUACAAUCAAUUCUGCCCACCUCUGUGGAAUUUCACCUGGAGGAAAUGCCAAGGACUGUACCUCCAUGAAGGCCCCAAGAGCCUAAGAGCCUAAGAGCCAGGAGAGGAGAGGAGAAGACGGCAAGGUUAGCAGAGAAGAGAGAAGAGAAGGACAAACAGCAGCGGCUAAUCUUAACUGCUCAUCUCCACCCCUAGAAUGUGCCCCUUGCAAAAUAAAGCCUUUUAAUUUUCAA